AUGGUUAUAUUUCUCCAUACAUGCUGCCAUUUAAAUGUUGUUUUUCUUCUCUUCUCAAAGAUCUUCAGUUUAGAUCUUGGAGGCAUAUCAACUGUGGUUCUAAAUGGCUAUGAUGUAGUAAAGGAAUGCCUUGUUCAUCAAAGUGAAAUUUUUGCAGACAGACCAUGCCUUCCUUUAUUCAUGAAGAUGACAAAAAUGGGAGGCUUACUCAAUUCCAGAUAUGGCCGAGGAUGGGUCGAUCACAGACGAUUAGCUGUAAACAGUUUUCGAUAUUUUGGAUAUGGCCAAAAGUCUUUUGAAUCUAAAAUCUUGGAAGAAACCAAAUUUUUCAUUGAUGCUAUUGAAACUUACAAAGGUAGACCUUUUGACUUUAAACAGUUAAUAACGAAUGCUGUUUCAAACAUAACUAAUCUGAUCAUUUUUGGAGAACGAUUCACUUAUGAAGACACCGAUUUUCAGCACAUGAUUGAGUUAUUUAGUGAAAACGUGGAACUAGCUGCCAGUGCCUCAGUCUUCUUGUAUAAUGCCUUUCCAUGGAUUGGCAUCCUGCCUUUUGGAAAACAUCAACAGCUGUUUAGAAAUGCAGCUGUAGUCUAUGAUUUUCUCUCCAGACUCAUUGAAAAAGCUUCAGUCA
rnacentral:sRNA from 1 species